rnacentral:rRNA from 1 species
AUUGUUAGUUGCCAUCAUUCAGUUGGGGCACUCUAGCGAGACUGCCGGUAAUAAACCGGAGGAAGGUGGGGAUGACGUCAAAUCAUCAUGCCCCUUAUGACCUGGGCUACACACGUGCUACAAUGGUUGGUACAACGAGUUGCGAGUCGGUGACGGCGAGCUAAUCUCUUAAAGCCAAUCUCAGUUCGGAUUGUAGGCUGCAACUCGCCUACAUGAAGUCGGAAUCGCUAGUAAUCGCGGAUCAGCACGCCCGCGGUCAUCGUUCCGGCCUU